rnacentral:rRNA from 1 species
CGCUGGCGGCGUGCCUAAUACAUGCAAGUCGAACGGUCUUUCUAUGGAAGCUUGCUUCCACUGAGAAGAUAGUGGCGAACGGGUGAGUAACACGUGGGUAACCUGCCCAUAAGAGGGGGAUAACAUCCGGAAACGGGUGCUAAUACCGCAUAGUUUUCUUGAUCGCAUGAUCGGGAAAGGAAAGACGGCCUUUGUGCUGUCGCUUAUGGAUGGACCCGCGGCGUAUUAGUUAGUUGGUGAGGUAACGGCUCACCAAGACGAUGAUACGUAGCCGACCUGAGAGGGUGAUCGGCCACAUUGGGACUGAGACACGGCCCAAACCCCUACGGGAGGCAGCAGUAGGGAAUCUUCCGCAAUGGACGAAAGUCUGACGGAGCAACGCCGCGUGAGUGAAAGAAGGUUUUCGGAUCGUAAAACUCUGUUGUCAGAGAAGAACAAGUUGGAGAGUAACUGCUCCAGCCUUGACGGUAUCUGACCAGAAAGCCACGGCUAACUACGUGCCAGCCGCCGC